GGGGAUUUAGCUCAGCAGCAUAAGCACCUGCCUUGCAAGCAGGCAGUCAUUGCUUCAAUCCCUG
rnacentral:tRNA from 1 species